AGUGAACGCUGGCGGUAGGCCUAACACAUGCAAGUCGAACGGCAGCACAGUAAGAUCUUGCUCUGACGGAUUUCCAGUGGCGGACGUGUGGGGACUACAUCGUAAUCUACUUUUUCGUGGGGGAUAACGUAGGGAAACUUACUCUAAUACCGCAUACGACCUUCGGGUGAAAGCAGGUAAUCUUCGCACCUUGCGCGAUUGAAUGAGCCGAUGUCGUAUUAGCUAGUUGGCGGGGUAAAGGCCCACCAAGGCGACGAUCCGUAGCUGGUCUGAGAGGAUGAUCAGCCACACGGGAACGGAGACACGGUCAAGACUCCUACGGGAGGAAGAAGUGGGGAAUAUUGGACAAUGGGCGCAAGCCUGAUCCAGACAUACCGCGUGGGUGAAGAAGGCCUUCGGGUUGUAAAGCCCUUUUGUUGGGAAAGACAAGCAGCAGGUUAAUACCCCGCUGUUCUGACGGUACCCAAAGAAUAAGCACCGGCUAACUUCGUG
rnacentral:rRNA from 1 species